CUCCAGACCAAUUGAACCAGAAUCUCUGAGGCGGGGCCUGGGUGUUGGUAAUUUUCCUUUGAAACACUCCCCAGGUGAUUCUAAUGGAAUCUAGGAGUGAGAAUCACUGGGGGAAGGCAUUUGUAGAUGGGAAGGCUGGUGGCAUCUGCUAGAAGACUUGAUGUGUACUUGGCCAGAGAUAAACCACAGGUCUGGCCUGAAUGGGUGUGGAAAUGUGUCAGUCAUGUUUUCAGAUUUCCAAGGUCAUUUUCCAAGAGACCUCUGUGAGCUUGGACUGGAUAGCGCAGCACAGGGCCAGCGAUGGCAGCUGGAAGGGUGGCUGCCUAGGAAGGAGCUGACUCUUCUGUCUCCUCUACCCCUUUAAGGGCCCCAUGAUUAUGUUGUGUGUAAUUUCAUCUGCAAAGCCACGUAAGCAUAUUGUGCCAAGGUAACACAUUCACAAAUUCCAGGGGAUAAAAACAUGAACAUCUUUUGCUGGGGGUUCUAGCAAAUCCACCUGGCUAAGGGAUGCAUCUUCCUUUACUACUCAUUGUCAAUUCUCUCCAGAAAGUCUUUCUGACCCCAGUCCUUGCCCACCAGGCUGGAUUCAGUGCCAGUCCUCUGUGUUACAGCAUCAUAGAACUUCCCUUGUUCAGCUGUCCAUUACCCUAUAACUCUUUCACCAGAUUGUGCUUUUUGAGUACAGAAACUGACAUUUCUGUAUCAUUUAGUAGAGUGUCUGGUACAUAGUACAUGCUCAAGAAAUGCUUAUUGAAUAAAUGAAUGAUGGGAAAAUUUAUUAUAUACUUAAAAAUUUUUGAUCAAAUAAUUACUGGUUGGAAAGUAUCCCUUAAACAACACAAAUAUUGAAAUAUUCAGUGAGAGGAAAAUCUAUGCAUAUCAAUACUGUGCUUCCUGAGAAUUAUCUUUACACAGAAGACUUCUUGAAAAAUAAAUAAACAUUGUGUUUGUGAAUUGUCCAGGCCUGGAUCUUGAGGAGGAAGGCACUUCUGAAAUAGCUGCAACUCCCGGCACAUUGUAGGGUUGAACUUCCCUGUUUGCAUUACAUAGGACUGGUCAUCUGACUGGCUGUGGCCAGUGAAAAUGUAGAUGAAAAUAGCCUGUAUCACCUCUGGACGAGUCAUUAGGAGUCAGUGUAUGAUUUGAUACAUUUCCUUCUCUCUGCCAUGGUGAUUGGUGAUGGAGGCUCUAUUAGUUUUUGUUCCUGAGUAAAGUAAUGUGGGUAUGAGUCCCUAGCUGACUUCCAAUACGAGUGAGAAAUAAACCUUAAUUGUUUUAAGCCUCCAAGCUUUGGAGUUUGUUGUACAGCCCACCAUGACAAAUAUACUUUUAGUCCUUUAUUUACAUGCUUUAAAAUACUGCUUGCAUUUUCUGAUUACCAUAUGUUCAUUGUGGAGAAUUUCAAAAAAUAUAAAAAAAAACCUUUGAAAUCACUUACAUAGAAAUAGUCUCUGUUAAUAUUUUGAUGUAUUGUCUUCCUCUCCCAAUUUAAAAAAUCAGGAUCCUAAUAUAUACGAUAUUGAUUUUUUCACUUCAUAUAUACUCUUAAAAUACAUGAAUUUGCUGCAUAUUAUUAAUUGAUGAGGAAGUGUUAUAAUCUAUUUUUAUAUUUAUGUUUUAUAUUUAUACUAUACAAUUCAUAAGAGUCACAUUUUAUUUUUGUACUUUUUCUUGUUGUAAAUAACAUUCCAAUGAAACUUUUGUGAUUAAGUCUUUGCUCAAAUUGCUGCUGCUGUCCUUGGAGUAGAUCCCUAGAAGGUGAACGACUAGGUCAAGGAGUAUGCAUACUUUUAAGAUUUUUGCUACCUAUUGCCAGGAGAAAGGUUAUACCAAUUAACACGUCAGC
rnacentral:lncRNA from 1 species